rnacentral:rRNA from 1 species
ACUCCUACGGGAGGCAGCAGUGGGGAAUUUUGGACAAUGGGCGAAAGCCUGAUCCAGCAAUGCCGCGUGUGUGAAGAAGGCCUUCGGGUUGUAAAGCACUUUUGUCCGGAAAGAAAUCCUUGGCUCUAAUACAGUCGGGGGAUGACGGUACCGGAAGAAUAAGCACCGGCUAACUACGUGCCAGCAGCCGCGGUAAUACGUAGGGUGCGAGCGUUAAUCGGAAUUACUGGGCGUAAAGCGUGCGCAGGCGGUUUGCUAAGACCGAUGUGAAAUCCCCGGGCUCAACCUGGGAACUGCAUUGGUGACUGGCAGGCUAGAGUAUGGCAGAGGGGGGUAGAAUUCCACGUGUAGCAGUGAAAUGCGUAGAGAUGUGGAGGAAUACCGAUGGCGAAGGCAGCCCCCUGGGCCAAUACUGACGCUCAUGCACGAAAGCGUGGGGAGCAAACAGGAUUAGAUACCCCUGUAGUCCCAUGAU